UACGGGGGGGGCAAGCGUUGUUCGGAAUUACUGGGCGUAAAGGGCUCGUAGGCGGCCAACUAAGUCAGACGUGAAAUCCCUCGGCUUAACCGGGGAACUGCGUCCGAUACUGGAUGGCUUGAGUAUGGGAGAGGGAUGCGGAAUUCCAGGUGUAGCGGUGAAAUGCGUAGAUAUCUGGAGGAACACCGGUGGCGAAGGCGGCAUCCUGGACCAUUACUGACGCUGAGGAGCGAAAGCCAGGGGAGCAAACGGG
rnacentral:rRNA from 1 species